CUUAUACACUCUUCUUUAAAUUAUUAUUACCUAAUCACCACCUUUAUUAGCAAGCAAAUCUAGAAACUCCUCACUUCAGCUUCUUAGCUUGUUCUUAGAAAGUAGAAAUAUCAAAAAAAGUAGCUCUCUUUUUUCGAUCUUCCUCUUUCUCUGUCCAAGGUUUGACUCUGUGUUGCAGUAAUUGUGUACAUAUGCAGGUUCAGUUUGUUUGAUUUAAAUUAGAUUGACAUGGCAGUUAAAUUUACUAUCAAGUCAAUCACUCCAAAAACUAAGGAUUGGAUAUGCAAAAUUCAAGUAGUAGAUAAAUAUCCUCCCAGAGACAAGAAAGACAAAAGUGGAAAAUACCAAUUGAUGGUUUUGCAACAUGAAGAGGAAAAUCAAAUUCAAGCCAUCAUUUGGAAUGUUGAUAUAAUGCAAUUUGACAAGUAUUUCAAACCAUUCCAAACAUACCUGGUGUCAGUUGCACAAGUGAAAGAACCAAAUCCCGCAUAUGCUAAUCCAUUCAACAAAUACACUUGGACAAUUGACAAAAAUACUAUCGUCGAACCAAUUGAGAAAGUCAUUCCUCCAGAGGAUCCACCACCACCAACACGACUGGCUGUCACCCCCUUUGAAGCUAUUGAGUAUCAAUUGAAAGAUUUUGAAUUUAAUGUCCUUGGACUACUUAUUAAUACUGGCCUUCCAAGUAAUGCAUUAAAUGGGAAGAAAAUCCAAGAAUUCAUCAUUAUGGAUACUCAGAAAAAGCCUAAGAAGCUAACACUUUGGGAGGACUCCGUCGAAUAUUAUGGAAAUGAACUUUAAGAGAAGGUUAAAGACUAUCCUGUCUUCUUGGCUAGAAGAGUGGUAAAAUCAUCAUCAGGAAUAUGGAGUAGAUACAACACAACAAUACUCCUACAUCCUACAUACCCAGGAGCCACCACAUUAGCUACAUGGUCCAAAACAAUUCAACAACAACUCAUUGAAUACACAGCUAAAAGCAUAUCCCCAGACGACACUUUUCUUUUUGUACCCUUUGAAGAAGAAUCAAUAUUCAUAUUUGAUAUCCAAAUGCAGCCGCAGGAACAAGAACAAAGAGGACAAAUAUUCUACAUCGAUGCUGAACUUUCAUUGAUAAAUGAAGACCAACAUUUAGCUCCAUGGCAUGCUUAGAUUGUAAGGCCCCAUUUUCAAGAACUACUUCAUCAAGGCCAAUCUACUGCAUGCACUGCGAACGAUCCACCAAACUUAUUCCCAGCUAUGGUCACCGAUCAUACUGGUAGCACAACAGCGUCCAUCUCAGAUCAAUCAACAACAAAGAUGUUGGACCUCACAGUACAAGAGAUUUAUGACAUCUACAGUGCAAAGAGAAAAGCGCUACUUCUUGACAAUGCACGUAGACAAUUAGCAAUAAAGACUUUCAAAAUUCAAAUGAAAAGAUUAUUUUCCAAAAAUCAGGAUAAACUAGCUGUUCUGAAUUAUGAGGAAAAAGAGCCUACCAACCAACCAUUACCAACUACACCAAUGAUGGGCGCUGCUGAACCAAGAAAGGGCAAGGCUAUGGAGAUUGGCUCAGAACCAAGGAUCCAGCAAACCCUGCCCACCAAAGACAGACCUUCCAGCACCAGACAAAAAACAUAAAUCAAGGCUCCUAUCAAGAAGGAGUAAAGGCUACUCAAAAUGAAUAUACGUUUAGUUGCUAUGUUUAAUCAUUUGAUGAACAUCUACAUUGCUAAACAAUGCUCAUUUUGUUAUCAAGUCACUUUUGGUGUUUGAUUUUGGCAACAAGUUUUUAAAGCACAAACAACUAUCUUUUUGCUAUAGCACUGUCAAGCUACUAUCUUUUUGCCACAACACUGUCUUUUUGAAAAGCUGGAUUACAAGCAUAUGUGACGCCUCAUGCUUUGAAAAGGUACUUUGUGAACGAUGGCGUCACACAGCUGCAACAUGCAUGACUGCUAUUAACAAAAUACCCAACUACUUUACUUUUUAACUGUUUACCAUAACCAGCUAUAUAUAUAUAUAUAUAUAUAUAUAUAU